GACGAACGCUGGCGGCGUGCCUAAUACAUGCAAGUUGAGCGCUGAAGGUUGGUACUUGUACCAACUGGAUGAGCAGCGAACGGGUGAGUACCGCGUGGGGAAUCUGCCUUUGAGCGGGGGACAACAUUUGGAAACGAAUGCUAAUACCGCAUAAAAACUUUAAACACAAGUUUUAAGUUUGAAAGAUGCAAUUGCAUCACUCAAAGAUGAUCCCGCGUUGUAUUAGCUAGUUGGUGAGGUAAAGGCUCACCAAGGCGAUGAUACAUAGCCGACCUGAGAGGGUGAUCGGCAACAUUGGGACUGAGACACGGCCCAAGCUCCUACGGGAGGCAGCAGUAGGGAAUCUUCGGCAAUGGACGAAAGUCUGACCGAGCAACGCCGCGUGAGUGAAGAAGGGUUUCGGAUCGUAAAACUCUGUUGGUAGAGAAGAACGUUGGUGAGAGUGGAAAGCUCAUCAAGUGACGGUAACUACACAGAAAGGGACGGCUAACUACGUG
rnacentral:rRNA from 1 species